rnacentral:rRNA from 1 species
GAUGAACGCUGGCGGCGUGCUUAACACAUGCAAGUCGAACGGGAAUUACUUUAUUGAAGCUUCGGUCGAUUUAAUUUAAUUCUAGUGGCGGACGGGUGAGUAACGCGUGGGUAACCUGCCUUGUACAGGGGGAUAACAGUCAGAAAUGGCUGCUAAUACCGCAUAAGCGCACAGAGCUGCAUGGCUCAGUGUGAAAAACUCCGGUGGUAUAAGAUGGACCCGCGUUGGAUUAGCUAGUUGGUGGGGUAACGGCCCACCAAGGCGACGAUCAGUAGCCGACCUGAGAGGGUGACCGGCCACAUUGGGACUGAGACACGGCCCAA